AUGGAAGGCAGACUGCAGAUCGCAGGAAAGGACCUUAAACAUUACCCAGGAGAUAAUGUCUGCCCUUCACUCUCAACUCCAGCUACCUUGCUACCUCCUCCAACACCUCUGCAAGACACAGGAUGUUCUUCAAGUCUGAGCUACAGCCAACAUCUGUGGACAACACUCUUUGUUCCUAUUUUUAGCAGCCUAAAUAGGAGACAGCUCUCCCCUGAAGGGCAUGAGGAAGGAUUCCCUCUUGCUUUACCUCCAGCAACCAACCGCAAAAGCAGAAACAAGGAGACAAUAAAGUUCUCCAAAUCCCCACCGCUUACAGAAGUAUUGUGCUAAUUCAUCAUAAUUACUAAACAUAUCUUCUUUAUAUGGAGAGAGUGUCUUAGGCACAACCAAAGCUAUGAAAACAGGUUUUAAGUCAUUGGAGGCUGCAUAUGUGAACACUAGUUUCAAUAUGGAACCCCAGAACAUGGAUUUAUAUCCACAAAGGAUCUUUGGGAUUUCAUAUAAACUAAGAGCUAUCCAUGUAGAUGUGACUGUAGGACUGAGGUCUCAUUAGUGUCAAGACAGAUUUAUCUACCUACCUACCUACCUCCCUACCUAAGAUACCUUCUCUAAGGUAACAGCAGAUGGUGCUGGUAGAUAGCACCUAGCUGUGUUUCCUUGUUAGUAUGUAGGAGUCCAAUCUGGGAGGAAUCAUAGAAUCAUAGGGCAGCUUGGGUUGGAAGGAACCUUAAAGGUCACCAACUUCUAACCCCCUGCCAUGGGCAGGGAUGCUAUCCACUAGAUCAUGUUGCAUCCACAACCUCUCUGGGCAACCUGUUCCAGUGCCUCACCACCCUUUGAGUGAAGAAUUUCCU
rnacentral:lncRNA from 1 species